rnacentral:lncRNA from 1 species
AGGAAGGAGAGAUCAUGGCGGACGGGAGGCAAGACUAGCCUGCAGCUCUGGACAGAGCAGCGAGUGGGAGCUCGCAUUGUAAACUUUAGCUCCAGAUGGACGGCAAAAACAAACCAGCAAUCCCCAGAGGACCCACAGACCCUCUGAAGGAAGUGGGCUGCUCCUGCAGGACCCGGGAGACCCCCAAAACUGUGAGUGUCCAGCUGCCGAAGUGGGAAAGGGAAACCCUCCUCUCCGGAACAGACACCCCCUGAGAAGUCUAUUUGUGGGAGAAGUUUCCGACUUUACCUGGAGCUGAGUCAGUCUGGAGAGCUGACUGAAAUACAGGGAUAGAGGAGGCAGCAGCAAGGCCCUGGGAGCUGAAUGGGUCCCCGGGCAGCCCAUUCCUGCCUGGCACCACAGGGAUCCAACGGGAGAGGAACAGAGGGUAAAACUACACGGAGAGAAGGAAAUCUCUAGCUGAACUUUGUAACAAUUCGAACAGCGUGAGAAGUCUCCUGGCCAGAACUCGGGGGAGGACACAAAUCUCCUGCACAGUUAAUAUCCAGAGUCACACGUGGAGAGGAAGCAUCACAAUGAGACCAUACAACCAUAUAAUCUGUUCAAGUCCUAGAAGGUGUUGGCAGAGCUGCAGGACUGACCUAGGUCAAUGGCUGUGGGACCACAGGGAAGAAAAGACACCAGAUGUUUCCGAUCAAGAGACAAGAGAAACAUUCAGCGUGACCCUAGAAAAUCUUUCUAAAGAGAUUUCACAACACUCAGCUCAUGUUUCGGGUCCAUGAAACCAUCUUUAGAUGAAUGAUGCCUUGUUACCUGUGAGAGGAAGUGAGCAGCGAGGAGUCCUGUCAGUUCCGGAAGGAGUAUUUGGGUUACUGUUCUUCAUUGUCUGCAGUUCUGUGAGUAUUGAUCUCAUUAUUCCAUAAGGCGGAUUUCAGCAGCAAGGAACAUAUCGUUUUUUUUUACAUUACAAUGAAAUUCCAUUUUUUACUUAAAUAUAUUUUAUGUCAAUGCUUUUCUCUAGUGGGCUCCCUAUAUAUUAUUUUAGUAUUAGUAACUUCAAUAUUUCUUCUUUUCUUUUCCUUGAGACAAGGUCUUGCUCAGUCGCCCAGGCUGAAGUGCAGUGGUGUGAUCAUAGCUCACUGCAGCCUCAACUUCCUGGAGUCAAGCAAGCCUCCCACAUCAGCCUCCUGAGUAGAUUGGAGACCUGUUGUGUGUUACCUUUGGAAGGUUUUCCACAGUUGAGAUCCAGUUGCUCCAGCAUCAUUUGUUGAGUGGUCUCUCUUCAUCCACAGAGCUCCAGAGUGUCUCCUCUUACAGGACUUCUACACGUUGGGCACAAAUUUCAGCAUGGCGUUAAGAAGAACUAGUCACGUCUCUGUCUGCAUUUCAUCUUCUCUUUCCCAACAACUUUCAAGAACUGUGAAGGGUCUGAUUUGACUCAACGUCCAAGCUACCAUGUUGGUCUUCGAGGAGGCACAAGAGCCUUGGAUCAGAGACAAAAAUCUCGGUUACUCACAGCAGAGAAAUCAGUAUGAGCUUUCCUUGUGCCUGAGUUCCCCUUACUAUCCAAAUCCCAGGGGGAUGAUUUACACAGAUCCAGCAUCCUCCCAGGCCCCUGGGCUCACAACACUAACAGUGUGCCGGCUGGCAAGGAAGUCUCAGCGCAUGCAACACCAUAAUCCCACAGCGGGCAACGGGAGGCAGACUGGGGGCUGAGAACAAUAAAUUAACAGUGAGUACUGCCGCCGUGACAAGUGCAGCUGCCUCCUGCCUUUCCUUCUUUCCUUCAGUCAAAAUGAAGGCAACAUUUGGAUAGUGUGUGCUCAUGUCUUCUGUGUUUUUUUUCUGUCAUAUGGGCUCCUUGACCUUGACAUUGUUUUCUAAGUAUUCUCUCCAAACUCAUUAUUAUUUUGUAACUAACUUUGUUAUCUCCUCACUAAAUGCAUCCCAUUGAACAAUUACAUUUUAAACUCUAACAAGUGUCUCAGGGGCCCCUGUGGUCUGGACCUGCCCAUCUCGCCAGCUCUUGUAGCUCCUAAUUCCCUCAGCAUUUGCAUAUUUCAGUUUUAGGCUUUCUUUUGCUUUCUUUCUUUCCUUCCUUCCUUCCUUCCUUUCUUUUUUCUUUCUUUCUCUCUCUCUCUUUCUUUCUUUUCUUUUCUGUUCUUUUCUUUGUAAGUAUCAGGAUGUUUCCACCUCAGAACCUUCACACCUAAGCUUCACUCCUCUAACACCCCCACUGACUCCCAGGCACUCUCCCCUUUAAACAAAUAAAGAGCUGCAACAGAAAGUUUAGUGUAAGGGGAAACUGGAAACAGAUAGGGUCCUUAGACAUCCUUGCCCUGUGCCCACCCACCGGCCCUUCUCAGCCCCAGAUCCUAGGGUGCAGGAACACACAAACCCAGGUAGGUCGCAGGACUGAAGCCUGUUGGAGCAGCACGACCCCAUCAUCUCAGAGCUCAAGAAGCAACAAGAGCUCAUGUGCCUUCACACACAAGCUUGAGAGAGCCACACAUAUCAUCCGAGUCUCCGAGGCUUUCUGACUUCCUUUUAUCUGAGGGCAUCGCAAUGUCUCACAUGACUAAAAACGUGAAGAAAACUUCUUAAAAGAGAGAAGGAGAAUGUAACAGAAACCGAUUGCCCAGAGUAUCAGCCCGGGAGCCCUAGAUGUUUUAGAAGAGUGUCGUCUGCUGACGCCUCUAGUGCCUUAUCAACACCUUUACCUGUGGAUACAAUUCAAAGGAAGCCUUGAGGAAUGGUGGCUUUCCUGAAGUGUUUGUUCUGCAGCAGAACAAGAACCUUGACAAGAAUGAAGUUACCUGGCUGUUUCAUUCCCUGUCCACCUCAAUUUUUAUGAGUUCAUUGCCCGCCACGGCAGAAUGUGUGUCUCACUGGUUUUCUCAGGUGCAAUGUGAACUUCAUGCUACUUGGUUCAUCUCGUCUACCUGUGUCCUUAAAAGCUAGCACCAGGCUUUAUAGGAAGAAUUAACAUGUUUUAAUGAGAGAAUGAAAACAGUCUGCAAGUUGUUUUGUGGUGUGUCUCAUGGAGCGUCCUUAUUUAUCCUCCAAGUGAUUAGCGGGCAUCGAUUCUGAGUUAAGGACUCCAUGAGGUUUUGGGCUAAAACAGUGAACAAGAUACUCAAGAACUUUUUUAUUAUAACUUUUUUAUUAUCUUUUUUAUUAUAGAACUUCCAAUCCAGCCAGAAUUAAAAAGACAAAAUUGGGUCGGGCGCGGUUGCUCACGUCUGUAAUCCCAGCACCUUGGGAGGCCGAGGUGCGUGGAUUAAGAGGUCAGGAGAUCUAGACAAUCCUGGCUAACAUGGUGAAACCCUGUCUCUACUAAAAAUACGAAAAGUUAGCUGGGCAUGGUGGCACACGCCUGUAGUCCCAGCUACUCGGGAGGCUGAGGCAGGAGAAUCACUUGAACCUGGCAGGCGUUCAAGGUUCAAGGUGGCAGGGUUGCAGUGAGCCAAGAUCACACCACUGUACUCCAGCCUGGCCGACAGAGGAAGACUCUGUCUCAAAAAAAAAAAAAAAAAAAAAAAAAAAAAACCGACAAAAUUGGAACAAAAAUUUUUAGUGGUGGCUCACGCCUGUAAUCCCAACACUUUGGGAGGCUGAGGUGGGAGGAUCCCUUGAGACCAGGAGUUUGAAACCAGCCUGGGCAAAAAAAUGAGACCAUGUUGUCUCUAUGAAAAAUAAACAUAAAAAAUAACUGGGCAUGGUGGCAUGCACCUGUGUUCUCAGCUGCAUGGGAGGCUGAGGUGGUAGGAUUGCUUGAGCCCACAAAGUUGAGGAUGCAGUUAGCUAUGUUCUCACCACUGUACUCCAGCCUGAGCAACAGAGCCAGACCCUGUCCCAGACAAAAAGCAAAAUAAAAAUCUUAGUAUUAUGGUGCUUGCAAAGGAGAAAUACAGAUGGCUCAGCAGUGGAGAGUCAUGGAAGGAUCUUGAACUAGUGGGUGACAAACUCAGAUUUUAAUUACAACAAAGCUUUGAUAGCUUCAGUGAGUUGGUGGAUAUUGAAGGGAAGAAAAUAGUUCAGGAGACAAAUGAGGAAACGUUUACAGUGCUUGAGCUGGGGGAUAGCAUAAAGUCCUGAGCUAGGAUAAUGGCCAUGGGAAUGAGGAGGGAAUGGGGAUAGUGAUGCUGACACGGUGGCUGUCCUUGGGCAGGUGAUGCAGGGCGUGAGAAAGCUGACGCAGGUGCAUGCAAGUGGGUCUCAGAUGCUCUGCUGGUCUUCAGCCUAGCUGGACACAGUGGUGCUCAGUACCACUGUGUAACCACUACUCAAGUGUAGGUUGACUUCUUCCAUCAUCCCUGCUAUGGUAUUAAUGGGUGUGUCCCUCCAAAAUUCAAAUGUGGAUACCUAAUCCCUAAGGUGAUGGCAUUAGAAAGUGGAAGGUGGGGUCUCCAGGAAGCAAUUAGGUCGUGAAGGUUGCACCCUCAUGAAUGGGAUUAAUUCCCCUAUAAAAGAAGCUUCAGGCGGGGUGCAGUGGCUCAUGCCUAUAAUCCCAGAACUUUGGGAGGCUGAGGAGGGUGGAUCACGAGGUCAGGAGAUCAAGACCAUCCUGGCUAACACGGUGAAACCCUGUCUCUACUAAAAAUACAACAAAAUUAGCUGGGCAUGGUGGCAGGAGCCUGUAGUCUCAGCUACUCGGGAGGCUGAGGCAGGAGAAUGGCGUGAACCCGGGAGGCGGAGUUUGCAGUGAGCCGAGAUCGCACCACUGCACUCCAGCCUGGGCAACAGAGCGAGACUCGAUCUCAAAAAAAAAAAAAAAAAAAAAAAGAAGCUUCAGAGAGCUGCCUCUGAUUUUCAUGUACUCUGCCAUGUGAGGACACAGCAUUCCUUUUCUCCAGAGGAUACAGCCACAAGGCACCACUGUGGAAGCAGAGAGCAGCCCUCACCAGACACCAAACCUGCCUGUGCCUUGACCUUGGACUCUCAGCCUCCAGAACUAUGGAAAUAAAUGUCUAUUAUUUGCAAAUUACCAUUUCUGUUGCAUUUUAUUAUAGCUGCCCCAGUGGACUAAGACGACCAGGGACCUCCAAUGUGUAGGCCAACAAGCAAGAAAAUAUCCACCUGCACAUUAGUAUUUGCUUGAAUGUCUUAGUCAUUUCGCCUACAUUUAACCAUAGAGAAAGCAAUACCACCCACAGUGACAGUUAAGAAGCAACAAUGAUGUAUAGUGACAUUUUAUUGUCUCCGCUCUAACAAGGAGCCUUUCUUUAGUAGGAGAAAGAUUGUACCACUUGGUAUGGACCAUUUGCUAAGCUACCCAGAUAAUGAAAUCACUUUGUCAUCUUUUGCUAGAGCUGCUCAUCACGUAUGUCUUUGAGCUUUUUAUUUCACGAUGAGGUAUGAGGCUGCUGGAGGGAUUCCCCUGUUUCUUAUUACCCACAGCCUUUUUGUGGCCACUGUUUGACUUUAGUGGAGAUUUAUGAUCUGGGCAAUGGACGUUAAGUAAUCCGCCUUCCCCAGUACAGCCUUCUAUUUAGGUUGUGUUAUAUAAAAUGGGCAAGGAAUCAUUCUUUGCUGUAAACAUCACUUUUAGCAAAGUUGAAAUUUAAGUGCCUAUUGAACAUUCACUCAAAAUUUCUCUCUAAGACAGAAAUAAAUAGAGGUCUUCACUUCAGCUUUUAGUGUUCUUUCCAAGAGGAACAUUUAUCCUUUUCUGUCAAGGCCAGCGGACUCAGGCCACAGAAAACUUACAGAAGGAGAGACUUUUCCAAGAAUCUAACACUGAUUCCAAUUUUUGUCAAACCACUUUUUUCACCUGAUAUUCUCCACAGACAAUUUUCGUGUUUCUAAAAAUAUACGUAAUAACUUGUAUAAUGAUGAUAAAGCUCUGUAUUACAAUUGAAUAAGACAGGAAAACUAUUUCAAGUUAUUUGCUGUGUGUAUCAUUUAGGAAUCUUCUAAUUUCAAGUAAUAGAAAAUUACCACCCACAAUAAGCUAGCAAGACAUGGAACCUCACCAUCUCAUAGACAGGAGUGGUCCUGGAUCCAGAACUCCAGAACUGAGACCACCAUCAGCUCCCCUGCCUCUGGGCUGAUCAUUCUUACCCUGACUCCCUCCCACUGUGGUGAGCAGGUGGCUGUUGAGUCUCCUAGAGAUAUCCCUCGAGCUGCCUGUGGAGAGAAAAGAGAAUAUUUUGUUUUCAAACUUUACAGAAAAGGUCUAGAAUUCCCCCUGUAUUCAUUUUGGUCACCAAUCCAUCCCUGAAGCAAUGCCUACGGCCAAGAAGAAGGGACCACAAUGCGAAUGCAGGCCUGACUGAGAUGCUCAGGCAUUUUUCUAGGAAGGAUGAGGAUUUUUCUAAGGAAGGGACAAGGAGUGAAUUUUCUUGGUAUGUCCUUCACAUCAGCAAAUCUCUAAUCAGAUCUUCAUAUAGAAUUUAUCAUUCCACAGGUGACCUGUGACCAAGAUGCAACCAGGAGAUUCCUGGAUGAUGAGGUCGAGUUGGGUCAGUCAAAUUCUUUUUCUCAUCGGUGCAAGAUUCUAAAUCAAAGCGUUGCAUAUGGCAAGACAUUUCAACUUUUUAAAUAGCAAACCAAGCAAUCAAAAACUCAUAUCCACAUUUUCAAAACAGCUUAUAGCAUAAAAUCUAUGUCAUUAGUGGAUUUGUGAGAGUUUUUUUUUUUUACCUAUGAUAAAAGAAAAACUUCAACCAAAUUAAAUUUAAAGGAGUAUAAUUGAGCAAAGAACGAUUCGCGAAUAAGGCAGCUCCCAGAAUCACAGCAGAUUCAGAGAGACUCCAGCACAGCCACGUGGUGGAAGGAGAUUUUAGACAAAAAAAAGAGAAAUGAUGUACAUAAAUUAGAAGUGAGGUACAGAACAGCUAGAUUGGUUACAGUUUGGCAUUUGCCUUAUUUGAACACGGUUUGAACACUCAGAAGUGUAUGAGUGGUUGAAUUAUGGCUGCUGGGACUGGCCAAGUCUUAGCGAUUGUUACAGGGACAUGCUCCUAAGUUAGAUUUUCUUUUCUUUUUUUUUUUUUAAAUUUCAUUCAGUUUUAUUUUUAUGAUUUUUGCUAUAUUAAUUCUUACCAAUUUUAAACCAACAUUUUUAACCUAAAUCAAUUCAUUUUACAUUAUUUUCAACUUAAACUGCUUAUACUUACAUUUUCCAAUACAUUAAAAUAUAAAAUUAUUACAAAUGUUCACCCAUGUAAGAUCUAAAAUUAUCUCAAGUUCCAGGAGUGGUAGUGGGCUUACACUUUGAAAAACAUGACUAGAUGCAAAAUUUGAGUAUUCGUCUUGACGGCUUAAAAACAUAUUAAACAUACGCUGGGCACAGUGGCUCACACCUGUAAUCCCGGCACUCUGGGAGGCUGAGGCGGGUGGAUCACGGGGUCAAGAGAUUGACACCAUCCUGGCCAACAUGGUGAGACCCCAUCUCCACUAAAAAUAUAAAAAUUAGCUGGGCGUGGUGGCAUGCACCUACAGUCCCAGCUACUCAGGAGGCUGGGGCAGGAGAAUCACUUGAACUGGAGUUAAGAUUUUCAGUCUUGUCUACCUAUUAAGCUAGGUUGCAGGUCGUCCACAAGGACUCAAAUAUAGAAGCACAGAGUCCUUCCCAAGCCAUAUUUAGUUCCUUUAACACUUACAUAGAAUGGACUAAAGGGUUUGUGUUGUGUGGUGUGUGUGUGUGUGUGUGUGUGUGUGUAUGUGAUAAAUAACUUUGUGUAGCAAAUAUUGGCUUUUAAAAAAUUACUUUAAAGACUUUCACUCUUUUCUGACAAAGCGAUCUGUGUUGAAGCUCUUCCUGGAGGGUUUAACGCAUCUGGUGCCACCACACACCAAGAUAGAGGGAGAUUAUUUUCCACAGUUAUUUGUGUAAAGAAGAUCUUAGGGUGGUAGGUGGUUUAUACAAGAUUUGAAUAUGGACAGGUUUUCUUUGGUUAUUUAAAAAAGAAAACAUACACAAAGAAUCUGUGUAAUUGAGGAGUUAUCAGGUAAGUCAUUUUACGUUGGGGCUAUGAGUCUUUGUGAGGAUCUAAGUGAAUAUUAACCAAGUGGAACCUUACAGAGUCAGGUGUUUCAGAGAAAAAACUUUUGAUCCUGCACAAUGUUAAAAUAUCAAUGCUGUUUUUAUUACAAUCUAUUAACAAGAGCAGCCAAAAAAUGACGCCAGAUCUCUCCCAUACAGGAGAUAAUAUCUUUUUUUUUCUUUUUCAGAAAUAGUCAAUGGCAUUUUAAAGAAAGAUGAAGGGAUCAAGGCUGAGGUACAUUCAAACCCAGUUAUAACAUGAUCUCCAGGAACUGCACAGGAGGAAGCUGUCUCCACCAGGAGCUGGAUCAGAUGCUGCUCGCUGUCUACCUAUUGUUGACGUCCUCCUUCCCACGUGGAUGCAACGUGAGCAGUCAGAAAGUCAAACUUCACGGAACGACAGAGGUGCCAAAACGGCAACUCCACCACCUGUCCGAAGAUCUAAGAGAACACCAGCUGUCUGACAGUGGCUUGAACAUUAUACAUUCAGCUUUUCACUUACAAAUAUAGCUGUGAAUUCACAGGGAGUAAUCCUACGUGCUGGAUCUCAUUCUCAAGUGGGAAAAUUCUAUAGAAAAACUGAUGUCAAAUUAGCCAUUUGUGGUGGUUGCUGAAGAAGACACACCAAGUCAGAUGCUCCUGACUAAGCAAGGCGAUACCCUCCAACUGAGCAUGGAAGCCCUACUGCAAUAGGAGGGCCUUCAUCAUCCACACUGGUUAGCACUUGCCACUUCUUGCUGCCAUUGCCUCUCAUACAAGAAAGUCAAGCCAGUGUAGAUCAAAAAUAAUAACAAUAAAAAUAAAAAAAUAAAAAGGUUUACCUAAUUUUAUUCAGAAGCUUUAUUAAAGAUUUUUUUUGUAUUAUCUGAUUUUUAAUCUGAUUUUUAAAAAGAUUUUUAAAAUCUUUUUACCUUUAUUAAGGUAAACUUACUUUGUUAGAUUAUCCUGAAUGUACAGUUCAAUGAGAUUUAGUAAAUUUCCAAUUGUGAAACCCUAUCAAAACCAAGUUCAGAAGAUGUCUAUCAAUCAAAAAGAAUAAGAAGCUUAUAGAAAUCUCAUAUAAAUGGGAAUAUGUAAUAGGGAGUCUUACAUGCUUGGUUUUCAUUUAGCAUAUUGCUCUUCAGAUUCUCUCCUAUAGCUGCAUGCUAUUCGUAGUUUCCUCCUUUUUAUUACUGAGUAGAUGUGUGGUUGUGUGGAUAUAACACAUUUCCUUUAUCCGUUCACCCGUCAGCACUUGCAUUGCUUCCAGUUUGAGGCCAUCACAGAAAAUACCCUGAACAUUCACAUAUAAGUCUUUUUUGUCAACAUAACAAUUACUUCUUUCCUGGAUGUGGAAUGGCUGGUGAAGAUAAGUUUAACUCAUUUAGAAACUGUCAAAGUGUUUUUCAAAGUAGCUGCAACAUUUUUUAAAUCCUCACCAGAAAUAUUGGAAAAUUCCAGUUUCUCCACAGUAUUCCAACACUUGGAAGCCUGAGUCAGUUCAUGUGAAUUUUAAUUCGACCUCUAAGUAAAAAAGAUGUGUUACAAAUGUGCAUCUUGUGAUUAUUCCAGUCGCCUGAGGAGGAAGGAGGGUGGGCAGGAUUUUUACUAAAAGUCAAAUUUUGAGGUGUUUUAAGUAGAUUUGGUAGUAGAAAAAGAUGAUCAUUUCAUUAUUUUUUUCAAUUUAUUUUUUUCCAAAUUUUCUCAUUUUUCUUCAAGACAUUACAGAAAACCUGAAGAAACAUGAAAUAAAGAAGGAAAUAAAACCCAUUCAUAACCUGCUACCCCUGAAUAAAUCCAGCAAGCUUCUUGUCCAUGCUUUCUCUUGGUCUGUGUCCAGGGUCAUGCAAUGAUUUUCCAGUCAUGACUGUGAAACAAAUCAAUUCUAAAUUUUACAGUACCUCUUACCUAUGUUCCAUUGCUACAUGGUCUUCAUAUUUAAUGUGUAAUGAAUGCCUGGUGUUUCUGUCUCUCAUUUUACUUUAAAUUAUAUGAUGUUUUUCUACUCUCAAAAUAUUUAUUUCAUUAAUGUUUACUAUUUAGUAAUAUAUCAAUAUAUCUAUAUCUGUCAGUAUCGAUCCAUCUGUCUACAUAGUAUGGAGACUUGUGUUCUGUUUUCUUCCUUCAGAUUUGUUAUUUAGAACUUGUUUUCAUCAAUAGCGCUGAACAGGUCAAUGAUAUGAAUACUUUAUGAUUAUCAGAACAUGUUUCCAAACUGCCUUCAAAAUUGCAUAUGUAGAGAGACAGUGUCAGUUUUACUUUGGCCUCACUGGUUUGGGAAGCAACAUGACUGUUUUUUUUUUGUUUUUUUUUUUUUGAGACGAAAUGUCACUCUGUUGCCCAGGCUGGAGGGCAGUGGCACAUUCUCGGCUCACUGUAACAUCUGCCUCUCAGGUUCCAGCGAUUCUCCUGCCUCAGUCUCCUGAGUAGCUGGGACUACAGGCCCACCACACCCAGCUAAUUUUUUUUGUAUUUUUAGUAGAGACAGGGUUUCACCAUCUUAACCAGGCUAGUCUCGAUCUCCUGACCUCGUGAUCUGCCCACCUUGGCCUCCCAAAGUGCUGGGAUUACAGGCGUGAGCCACCGCAACCGGCCUGACUUUGCUCUUCUCCUUCAAUAUUGUAUUGGCUCUUCUGAAUCUUUUCCUCUCUGUAUAAACUUUAGAAUCAGUUUGUUGAUAUCCACAUAUAACUUACUGGGAUUUUGAUUGGAAUCAUAUUUAGUAUACAUCAAUUUAGAUGUGCAAAUAUAGAUCAAUUUGCAUUAAAUAUAGAUCACUAUAGAUUGACAUCUUGACAAUAAUGAGGCUUCCUAUCUAUGAAUAAGGAAUGUAUCUUUAUUUAGUUACUCUUUGAUUUCUUUCAUCAGUUUUGUAGUUUAGAUCUUAGAGACAAUUUCUAUAAUUUUAGACAUGAUAACUCACCUUUCUAAAACUUUACUUUCUAUUCUAGAAAUUAAGGUUAUUAAUAGUACCUAGCCCCACAGGGUUGCUAACAAAAUCAAUUGAGACAAUGCAGAUGUAUCUCUAAAAGCCAGAUAUGGGAUCGCAGAACACUCAGAGGAUGCCCCCUAAUGCUCCCUUUCAAGCUCAGAAGCUGAUGCUCAAGAGCUUUUCUCGCCCUGGAGUCCUUGCUAUCUCCCUUUCUAUCGACUCCGGUUUCUAAAGAAGACGCUAAAACUGUGAGUUCUUAAGCCUAGGUUCUUACCAAUACAGGGAGAAAUCGUCUUGGUAAUCUCCAUCUCAGAAUCAUAAGAAUUCAAGACAUUUUCUGGGAUGACAUUUUCUUUCCCUCAUGUACUCUUCUGUCUUUUUUUUUAAUGUGGUAAAAAAGAAUAACGGGCUCAUAUGAAUUCUGGAAAGUUAUACAAGUCCUUGACUUUCCACCUAUCAGUAUUCAAACUCCAUCUGCGAGGCAGAUUCUAAGACCUUCAUCGUGAGCUUUCUAUUAUGAGAUAAGAUGGUCUGGAAAUAAAAGCUGGGACACCAGGUGGAAACAGGAUGGUGGUAAAGGCCUAUAGAACAAAAGGUGACUCUGGAGGCCAAAGGUCAUGGGAGCAGAGUCAAUGACAUCAGCCAAGUUAACCAUGCAGUCCCAGAGCCCCUGCAGAUGGCCACAGGGAGCACCUCAUCAGCAGAACUGGAGCAGGCGCGGAACCGACAGACCAGGCGACCUUGCAGGGGCCCCAGUGCCUCAGGCAGGAGUCUGCCUAGGGUGCUGGGCUGAGGAUGAGCCUUGGGCUGGACUGUGUGAAUAUGGUGGGAAAAUUCUAACUUAGCGAGAGGCAUUCGAGAGCAAGAGUGGCUGGGUUUGAGGUCUCAUUUUAUGCUUCCUCCCUGUGGAAUCUAUCACAAUGUCUCUCAUUUCUUGGGCUCAUAAGGGUGACGUGAGAGGAUUAAUUGAGGCAAUAAUGUGCGAAACACAAAAUAGUGCAAAACAGUUAGCAUACUGUCUCGCGUAUAGAAGCAGUUCAAAAUAUGUUCACUCUUAUUGUCUUGUUGGUACCUUUCCAGAUGCACUUGUGUCCAAAAUAGAAAGUAGGAUUAAAGUUAUUUCAACAAAUUCUUCCCAUAUAAAUCUUUCAGGUCAAUGUGGCCUGCUGUGUUAAAUAAUUAGUCUAGGCAUUUGUUAUUUUUUUCUUUGCUCCUUCAGCAUGAGAUUCAGUACGUAUAGGAAAUGCAAACCUCCUUUUCUUUUCCUUAUUUUCCAACCAUCAAACUUUUCAAACGUAAAUAAAACCUUAGACUUUGAGGCUUCCUGAAUUUACCUGUGUUACAUUCAAAAGAACUAUUUUCUGAUGUAUUUUUCUGUUGUUUAGCCAAAUCCUUGUGGGUAAGCAAAUUAUUUCUAAUUAUAUCCUCUUGCACAGCAGUUUCAUUUUCUUAUAUCACAGAAGCCUUCUUUAGGUAGAACUUCUUGAGACUCUACCACUGACUCAGGUCCCACUUUUUUUUUUCAACACAGGAUUUAAUUUUAUUUGUAUUCAUGCAUAAUGUGUCAGACAUAGGAUAGAAACAAGCACAGCUUAGAGGAGAAGAAAGGGGCUGCAGUCAGAGGUGUUAUUGUCAAACUAUGCUAAAAUAUGAAUCGUUUCCAAUGAUUUUUACCAAAUAUUCAUGAGCCAACAUUAUUUACAAAGGGCACACGCUUUACAAAUAAAACCAGAUAUUGAUAUCUCCAACUUGCAGCUUGGAAAGUUGUGAUCCAAGAAUGGUUCUAUGAUCAUCCGAGGUCUCAGAGAUAGGAGGACAUCGAGCAAGGAAUAAAAACUUCGGGCUGGGCACAGCGGCUCAUACCUGUAAUUCCAGUGCUUUGAGAAGCCAAGGAGGGUGGAUCACUUGAGCCCAAGAAUUCCAGACCAACCUGGACAACAUGGCAAGACUUCAUCUCUACAAAAAAUACAGAAAUUAGCCUGGCAUGGUGGCAGGACUGCAGUCUCAACUAGUGGGAAAGCUGAGGGGAGAGG